rnacentral:rRNA from 1 species
UAACGCGUGGGUAACCUGCCCUGUACACACGGAUAACAUACCGAAAGGUAUGCUAAUACGAGAUAAUAUGCUUUUAUCGCAUGGUAGAAGUAUCAAAGCUCCGGCGGUACAGGAUGGACCCGCGUCUGAUUAGCUAGUUGGUGAGGUAACGGCUCACCAAGGCGACGAUCAGUAGCCGACCUGAGAGGGUGAUCGGCCACAUUGGAACUGAGACACGGUCCAA